GGGUAACCUGCCCUAUGCUGGAUAAUAACCUCGGGAAACUGAGAAUAAUGAUCCAUAGUUCACUACGCCUGGAACGGUAAGUGGAUGAAAGCUCCGGCGGCAUAGGAUGGGCCUGCGGCGUAUCAGGUUGUAGGGGGUGUAACGUACCCUCUAGCCCUCUACGCGUACGGGUGUUGGGAGACAUAGCCCGGAGAUGGAUUCUGAGACACGAAUCCAGACCCUACGGGGUGCAGCAGGCGCGAAAACUUGGCAAUGCGAGAAAUCGUGACCAGGGAACUCCAAGUGCAUCGGGUAAGACCGGUGCUUUUCUUGACUCUAAAUAGGUCUUGGAAUAAGGGGUGGGUAAGGACGGUGCCAGCCGCCGCGGUAAUACCGGCGCCUCAAGUGGUAGUCGCUUUUAUUGGGCCUAAAACGUCCGUAGCCGGUCUGAUACAUUCGUGGGUAAAUCAACCAGCUCAACUGGUUGAAUUCUGCGAGGACGGUCAGACUUGGGACCGGGAGAGGUGUGGGGUACGCUCAGGGUAGGGGUAAAAUCCUGUCAUCCUGAGCGGACCACCUGUUGCGAAGGCGCCACACUAGAACGGAUCCGACGGUCAGGGACGAAGCCUAGGGGCACGAACCGGAUUAGAUACCCGGGUAGUCCUAGGUGUAAACGCUGUGGACUUGAUGUUGGGGGUGCUCCGAGCACUCUCAGUGUCGAAGCGAAGGUGAUAAGUCCACUGCCUGGGAAGUACGGUCGCAAGGCUGAAACUU
rnacentral:rRNA from 1 species